GGUCAGGACAGCAGCUUGGUCUUCCCAGGUGAGGAACUGAGGACUGGCCUGCAUAGAUUUGUGCAGUAGCGAGGGCCGAGGUAGGGGCAGAUAGAUCACCAGACAGGCGGAGAAGGACAGGAGUACAGAUGGAGGGACCAGGACACAGAAUGCAAAAGACUGGCAGUUUCACUGCAAAUCCACAGAAGCAGGUUUGCGAGCUCGAAUACCUUUGCUCCACUGCCACACGCAGCACCGGGACUGGGCGUCUGGAGCUUAAGUCUGGGGGUCUGAGCCUGGGACCGGCAAAUCCGCGCAGCGCAUCGCGCCCAGUCUCGGAGACUGCAACCACCGCCAAGGAGUACGCGCGGCAGGAAACUUCUGCGGCCCAAUUUCUUCCCCAGCUUUGGCAUCUCCGAAGGCACGUACCCGCCCUCGGCACA
rnacentral:lncRNA from 1 species